GCCCCGGUAGCUCAGUUGGUUAGAGCGUCGUGCUAAUAACGCGAAGGUCUAGGGUUCGAGUCCCUGUCGGGGCA